CCCUUAGACGUCCUGGGCUGCACGCGCGCUACACUGGAAGUUACGGAUUGAGAUACUACCUUGUCCGAAAUGGUCCGGGUAAUCACCUAAAAGCUUGUCAUAAUUGGAAUGGAUUAUUGUAACUAGUAAUCCUGAACGAGGAAUUCCUAGUAAGUCCCAGUCAACAGCUGGUACUGAUUACGUCCCUGCCCUUUGUACACACCGCCCGUCGCUACUACUGAUUGGACGUUUAAGCAAGAUUUUUAAACACUGACAGUGUGUAGUUCACGCUAUACUACAGUGAGAAGAAGAAGAUCGAGCUUACUUGUCUAGAGGAAGUAAAAGUCGUAACA
rnacentral:rRNA from 1 species